rnacentral:rRNA from 1 species
AACGAACGCUGGCGGCAGGCUUAACACAUGCAAGUCGAACGGGUGUAGCAAUACAUCAGUGGCAGACGGGUGAGUAACACGUGGGAACCUUCCUAGGGGUACGGAACAACUCAGGGAAACUUGAGCUAAUACCGUAUACGUCCGUGAGGAGAAAGAUUUAUCGCCCUUAGACGGGCCCGCGUCGGAUUUGCUAGUUGGUGGGGUAACGGCCUACCAAGGCGACGAUCCGUAGCUGAUCUUAGAGGAUGAUCAGCCACACUGGGACUGAGACACGGCCCAGACUCCUACGGGAGGCAGCAGUGGGGAAUCUUGGACAAUGGGCGCAAGCCUGAUCCAGCCAUGCCGCGUGAGUGAAGAAGGUCUUCGGAUUGUAAAGCUCUUUUGCCAGGGACGAUAAUGACGGUACCUGGAGAAUGAGCCCCGGCAAACUUCGUGCCAGCCGCCGCCGUAA